AUAAAUUCUCUGACAAGGAAGAGUAGUUGUAAAGCUAAGUUAAAGAGAGCCGGCGGUGGUGGAAAUCCGGUACCUAUGCCUACAAUGAAUGGACCCUGUAGAAGUAAACCGAAAUCUUUUUAAGAUGUAGUAUUUACCGGCAGCCGCCCGUUACCUGCGGAUAGGAUAUGUUAGUAUCUAAAAGAGACAUGCUUUUUGCAUAAUUUAGGUGGUACCGCGGAUAACCUUCGCCCUAUAU
rnacentral:ncRNA from 1 species